AGGGCUGCACCCAUGACAUAUGGAAGUUCCCAGGUUAGGGGUUGAAUCAGAGCUGCAGCUGCCAACCACAGCCACAGCCACAGCCAUGCCAGAUCUGAGCCAUGUCUGUGACCACAGCUCAUGGCAAUGCUGGAUCCUUAACCCAUUGCAUGAGGCCAGGGAUCAAACCUGCGUCCUUGGCACUGACACAAGAGAGGGUCCCUGGAGCAUCGGAGAAAAGCGUAACUAGAAGCAAGACCUGAGUGGUUCAGAGCAACAGCUGGGCUGGCUUUCACCCAGCUGGAUCCCCUGAGAAUGGACAGUAGUGGAGGGAGCCGCUAGCUACGGCCCGGCCCUGGCUCAGACCAUCUAGAGGGAGGAGGCCCUGUCUGGCUGGUGGGUCCCUGCUCCCUGUCAUCCCUCGGAGGGUCUACUACCAGGCUAGAGCAGGCUUUUCAGCAAAUCUUGUCAUUUCCUCACUUCUCUUGACUUGCAUCCAAGACAGACUUGGGCAGGGUUAAGCUGGAACCCUAUAACUCAUCCUGCCCAGCGACACACUGCAUCGCCUGCCAGCUUGGACUUCCAGGGGCUCCUGACUCUGGCUCUUCGGUCACAGAACCCACCUGCUGGACAUAAGCACUGGCAGGUUUCUAGCAAACUCUGGUUUUCCAGCAGGAUGGCUGCUGCCUCCCCAGGGUGUAAGGUAAAGAAAUGAGCAACGGCAAGUCCUCCUCCGGUCUUGGAUAACCACUUGGUCUGGCCCACCAGACCCCAGGCUUUCCUCCAAAUGUGGAAGACAUCGGCUUUGGACCCUGGCUAUUUGUUCUGGGAGUGGAAGGUUGGGGUGCAAGAGGUCCUCUUGGUGCUUCCUCUGGGACUCAGUCCCCAAAGGAGAUCAAUUCUGAGGUUGAAUAAGGAAGGAAGACUGAGAAACCGUAAACACAAGGAACCAGGGCCCGUCAAACAGCAUCAGGCCUUUCACAGUAUUUAUACAAGUCAAGUCUGAUGGUCUUGACUGAAGAGCUGCGAGGGCUCAGGAAAGCUUCCUAUUCUUUCCCUCCUGCCUCGUCCCACUCUCCUCUUUUCUUAUCCUUUUUCACUUUCCUUCCCUUCUUAUCCAUUACCCUGGAAGGGGUCCAAGUCGUGGCUGAUGAGGGGCCAAGCCAGAGCACAGAUUGUGAAUUCCCCAGCUUUUUUGUAGUUUGAGUCAGCCCCAUAGCCGGUGGUGGAUUCAUCUCAAAUGGGUCCACAGAGGCCACAGAGUAGGGGGGACGGGAGCUCUGAGGCCUCUACUUCUGCUCAAGGAUCUGAAGUACCCAAAACAAAAGCCAGAGAGAAAUCCGCAGUCUUAAAAACCUCCAGGUCUGGCUGCAUGCAACCCUGACACCAUUCCAGAAGGAUCCUCCAGCACAAGGACAGGGAAGAGAUGAGAAAAGUUCCCCGACACUCUUGGUUUAUAGAAUGGAGGCUCUAGUGUCCAGAUAAACCAUUUCCACCUCAGCAAACCACCCCCACUUCCUGGCCUGACUUAAAACUUUUGCCAACACCAUGGUUUCCCUCAUCCCAGAAUCUUUCCUGAUUUCUUGUGCACACCCAGCUCCCUAACAGAGAUGGGCGGCUCACAAGCUCGCUAGGCAGAAAGGGAAUGAGGGGCUAGAAACGGCUGCCAUGCUGGGAUGCACCUCCUGAUCCUAGGAGAAUAAGAGAUGUGGAUUUACCACAAAGCCACAAUCCCUUCCCAGUCAACCCGUUCUGGAGUCAUAUUGCAGCCAUCCCAUAAUCAUCCCUGUGUUGGGUGUCCCCUUCAGAAAUGGUAACCACCGGCCAUGAGGAAGCCAGACUUCCAGCAGAGAGCUGGGGCAGAGCUGAACUCUGCCCAGGAGAGCUUUUGCAAUGCUCAGAAAAUGCCUGCCCAACUGCUUGCCUGGGCUCUGGCCCCUCUGGCUGCAACUGAGCCCAGACAGGAGGCUGACUCACUCACCGCACAGAGAAGGAGGAAGAGGAGGAGGAGAAGGAGGAGAAGGAGGAGGAGGAGAUGCGGGAAGGGCCUGGGCUCAGAGACCCAGGGCUCUCCCAGCCCAGGCAGCCUGUGUCUCAGCCUCAGCGGUCCAUGGGGGGAGAGCGCAGUGUCCACUGCUUCUCAGAUACCAUAUGAUUUUCGCUCCUAGACACUUCCCUGAAAUCCUCCUCGCCUACCACACACAGAUGUGGGGGCCGUCACUCCCCAAACAGAACUACUCCCUGAGCCCCCUCCUCAAUUAGAUGCUUGUAUCUGAUUUCCUCUGAACAUCAAUGGACAAGCUCCUCCGAAAAAAACAAGUCCAGUGCACUAGGGUCAACCAGGUCUAAAAUAAUUGGUUAAGAAAAAAAAAAAAAAAAGUCAAGAAAAGAAGAGAAAAACCAACUCUCCUUAAAAGAUCUGGCUCCACCAUCGCAGAGGACCAUACCUGGGUUCUACAAGAUAACAAAGCUAACCACACUCCACCCCCAGAAGACCUCAGUGCUGUUUGAGAGGCAAUCUCUCCCUUUCUUAUUCCUCCAGUCCAUGCCAAGGCGCCCGACAGAAGAAGGAAACAAAUGCUUCUUGUUGCCCAAGUGCUGAGCACUGUGCUGGAGGAGCAUUUCUGCGAUCGGCCGGCUGAGCACUGAGGGGGUCGCUGCUCCCCUCGCCAACCUGGCACGAACUUAGGCUCUUUCUCAGACCUCAGUGUCCCCUCGGUGCUCCAGCCUCAGGGCAAAAUCUCGGUCGCCAAGUUUGCCCAGACUCCAGCGCUUGCACCUGGGCACUCAGGACAGUACCCCCGACACCUCCACCUCCGGCCUAUCCUGAUCCUGGGGGACCCCCCGCCCCCCUUCCCGCCGCUCCCACGUCCGCACCUGGUCCGGCGGAUGGGCACGCUGCUCCGC
rnacentral:lncRNA from 1 species